AUUGAACGCUGGCGGCAUGCCUAACACAUGCAAGUCGAACGGUAACAGCGGAAGCUUGCUUCCGGCUGACGAGUGGCGGACGGGUGAGUAAUGCAUAGGAAUCUGCCCAGUAGUGGGGGACAACCUGGUGAAAACCAGGCUAAUACCGCAUACGCCCUACGGGGGAAAGACUUCGGUCACUAUUGGAUGAGCCUAUGUCUGAUUAGCUUGUUGGUGGGGUAACGGCCUACCAAGGCGACGAUCAGUAGCUGGUUUGAGAGGACGAUCAGCCACACUGGGACUGAGACACGGCCCAGACUCCUACGGGAGGCAGCAGUGGGGAAUAUUGGACAAUGGGCGAAAGCCUGAUCCAGCAAUGCCGCGUGUGUGAAGAAGGCCUGCGGGUUGUAAAGCACUUUCAGUAGCGAGGAAAAGCCUAAGGUUAAUAACCUUGGGUCUUGACGUUAACUACAGAAGAAGCACCGGCUAACUCAGUGCCAGCAGCCGCGGUAAUACUGAGGGUGCAAGCGUUAAUCGGAAUUACUGGGCGUAAAGCGCUCGUAGGCGGUUUGAUAAGUCGGAUGUGAAAGCCCCGGGCUUAACCUGGGAACUGCAUUCGAAACUGUCAAGCUAGAGUAUGGUAGAGGUGAGGGGAAUUCCUGGUGUAGCGGUGAAAUGCGUAGAUAUCAGGAGGAACAUAGUGGCGAAGGCGCCUCACUGGACCAAUACUGACGCUGAGGAGCGAAAGCGUGGGGAGCAAACGGGAUUAGAUACCCCGGUAGUCCACGCCGUAAACGAUGUCAACUAGACGUUGGGCUCAUAAAAGAGCUUAGUGUCGCAGCUAACGCAUUAAGUUGACCGCCUGGGGAGUACGUUCGCAAGGAUGAAACUCAAAGUAAUUGACGG
rnacentral:rRNA from 1 species